CACAGCUGCGCGUCCGGGCGCUCGGCGGGCAGGUUCGCCGCCCCCUCCGCCCCCCAACGGCGGGCUCUUUGGGCCUCAUCACUCAGAGAUGCCAGAAUUAAAAGACUCCACCCUAUGAAGGUUAUAUUGGAAGGGGAAAAAGUAUCGUGAUUAAGGACUAAGAUGGCAAGUAAUCCAAUAUAUGUUAAACACAUAUUUCCACAAUGAUCAUAGCAGCAAGAUUUUUUUAAAAGACUGGUAGCUCUCAUUCAGAAAUUGGAUUUCAACUUACAUCAAACAUCCUUGGAAAGAGAGAGUUUCCAGCGGUUGGUGGGAGCAUCCAACAACAUAAGAACAGGGUUGAUCACAG
rnacentral:lncRNA from 1 species